AGGGAAAGGCUCCGGUCUGAGGUGGCAACUUUUCUCUUGUUUGAUCUAGUUAUGAAGUCGGAGGCAGUUUUAGGCAUUCAAGUCCAAUUCAAAGGUGGUGGUGAUGAUGCUGGUGGAGGAGGAGGAGGAGGCGGCCGGCAAGAUUCUACAGGAAGCCCAAAAUAGAGAUGGAGAGGACAUGCGAGGCAAAGUGCAAUUCCCAUGCCCUCUCUGCUUAUUUGCACUGGUGGGCAGAUUUUAUUCAGAGUAGGUAGUCUCAGAGAUACCUAGGAUCCAAGCCUGUAAAGAUUUAUUGGUAACUACUAGCCCUUUGAACUGGAAUCUACUGGCCAAUGCAUCACCUGCAACAGAGAUAUUACAAUUUCAAGGUGGACUUCUAGAGUAGCUUCAUAUAGAGCCAAUCUCAGUUAUCUAAGCAUGAUGUCACAGCGUUUAGGUAAACAUAGACAAUGCAUUUCAUUGGACUCAGCAGGCAGGUGCACCCAGUAGGUAACACCACUAAUUUUGCACGUAUAAGGAUGGAACAUUUUAUCACAUGUGGUGGCAAUGUCCUAAAGCAAGGAAAUACUGGGAACAGAUAAGGAGAUGGCUACAGGAGAUAACAGGAGAACAAAUUGAAUUUAAAGCUGAAUUAUUUUUAUUAGUAAUAAUUAAUCAAAAGAUAAAAAAGCAACUCCAAUAUAUUAUUGUACACAUAGUAACAGCAGCACGUAUUGUCUAUGUGCAAUGCUGGAAACUUGAAAAUAUACCAGCUAAUGAUAUUAGAAUGUGCCGAGAUGUAUAAGCUUACACUAGAAAUGAAAGGCAAGGAAGAAACAGAAUUUUAUGAGGUAUGGGAUAAAUGGUAUAAUUGGUUAGAACAAAGAAAUAAAAAUGUAUAGCAAUAAAUGUAAAUAACUGUAAGAGAUACAUGACAUAGUACUGUUAAAAAAAGAAAGAAAAAUGUUUUAUUUUGUAAAUUGGAAAAAUGAAAAAUAAAAAUUAUUUUUAAAAAUUGCA